rnacentral:lncRNA from 1 species
GGGGCUGCCCGCCCGGGAGGCCCUCUGCCUGCUCGCUGGGGUUCUGCCGCACGGUGAGGUCGGAAGGGGCCUGGGUGGGGGCGGGCAGCUUCCAGAGGGCCCGGCCUCUGGCCCCCGGCUCUCAGAGGUCAAUGGGAGCUGAACUGUUUGUCCAGGCCCGACUGCUCUGAGCACGCUCCAGGCCUGGCUGCCCCGCUGACCCGUGCCGGGCCUGGUCUUCCCAGCCCCCCAGGCCCCGGGGCCACAGUGAUGGGGCCACAGCCCAGAGGGGCGCUGCUGGGGCUAGGAAUGGGGACGACUGCUUCACAACGCUGUCUGGUCUCUGCCGCACGGCGACACGGGCUGGCCACAGGCAUAGGUGUGUCCCCUCCCUCCGCCGCCUCCGUCCCCCCCCUCCAGGUCUUCCCGGAGCGCCGGGCUUGAGCCCCGGCCUCACGCGCGGCGGUGUGCACGUCUCCCGCCUGCUCCGUCCACGCGUCCCGCCCUCGCGUCCGCUGGGCCCACAGUCUGCCCUCUACAUCUGCAUCUCCGCCGCUGCCCUGAGAAGGCUUCAUCAGCACCAUCUUUCUGGACUCCACGUACCCGCGUUGAUAUACGAUAGUUGUUUUCCUCUCCUGGCUUACUUCACUCUGUAUAACAGGCUCUCGGUUCAUCCACCUCAUUAGAACUGACUCCAGUGUGUUCAUCUUUACGGCUGAGUAAUAUCCCAUCGUGCGUAUGUACCACAGCUUCUUUGUCCGUCCAUCUGCCGAUGGGCAUCCGGGUUGCUUCCCUGUCCUAGCUCUUGUCAGUGGCGCUGCAGUGAACACUGGGGUACAUGUGUCUUUUUCAGUUAUGGUUUCCUCAGGGUAUAUGCCCCGUAGUGGGACUGCUGGGUCAUACGGUAGUUUUAUCCCUACUCGUUAAGGAAUCUCCAUACUGUUCUCCAUAGUGGCUGUACCAGUUUACAUUCCUGCCAACAAUGCAAGAGAGUUCCCUUUCUCCACACGCUCUCCAGCAUUUACUGUUUACAGAUUUUUUGGCCUGGUGUGAAGUGCUAUGUCUUCAUAGGUUUGAUUUUCAUUCCUCUCAUAAUGAGCGAUGCUGAGCCCCUUUUUGCGUGUUUAUCAGCCAUCUGUAUGUCUUCUUUGGAGAAAUGUCUGUUUAGGUCUUCUGCUCACUUUUUGACUGGGUUGUUUGUUUUUCUGGUAUUGAGCUGCAUGAGCUGCUUGUGUGUUUUGGAGAUUAAUCCUUUGUCAGUUGUUUCAUUUGCUAUUAUUUUCUCCCAUUCUGAGGGUUUCUUUUCACCUUGUUUAUAGUUUCCUUUUUCUGUGCAAAACUUUAAAGUUUAAUGAGGUCCCACUUGUUAGUUUUGUUUUUAUUUCCAUUAUUUUAGGAGGUGGGUCAUGGAGGAUCUUGCUGUGAUUUUAUGUCAAGGAGUGUACUGCCUGUUUUCCUCUAAGAGCUUUACAGUCUCUGGCCUCACAUCUUGAGUUUAUUUCUGCUUGCGGUGUGAGGAGGUGUUCUAGUUUCAUUCUUUUACAUGUAGCUGUCCAGUUUCAAGCUCCACUUUUACCCCUUAAUUUAACUGGCACUUCUCGAGUGCCUGGU